rnacentral:rRNA from 1 species
UACGUAGGGUGCAGGCGUUAAUCGGAAUUACUGGGCGUAAAGCGUGCGCAGGCGGUUUGUUAAGACAGAUGUGAAAUCCCCGGGCUUAACCUGGGAACUGCGUUUGUAACUGGCAAGCUAGAGUGUGGCAGAGGGGGGUGGAAUUCCAAGUGUAGCAGUGAAAUGCGUAGAUAUUUGGAGGAACACCAAUGGCGAAGGCAGCCCCCUGGGUUAACACUGACGCUCAUGCACGAAAGCGUGGGGAGCAAACGAGG